CCAAAAGCUGUGCUGAGAUUCAACCAUCAACAUCCCAAAAGGAGGAUUCUGUUUCCCAGCAUUUCUUGCCAAGGAUGAUCUCAGAUUCGUCUGUUUCCAUUCACGUGGACAAGACAGAGAGAAGACAGCCAGUUAUGAUAUUCCCAGAUGGCUAGGACACAGACCAUUCUUCCAGAUCUGGAAAUGCUAACAAUGUUUCAUUACCACAGCCCUGACCAGCUUGAAGCAACCUUCCUCAUACCCAAAUCAAAUACCUGUGUGGAGAGACUAAAUCUGUCUAAAGG
rnacentral:lncRNA from 1 species